rnacentral:lncRNA from 1 species
AUUUCUGAGCCAUUCCGCCUAUUGUGUAACAGAGGAGAGGGGCGGACCCUGGUAUAAAAACAAUGGUACCCAUUUGAGUUACCCCCCCCCCCACCACCUUUCAGGCUGCAGAGGAGACUCCUAGUGUUGCUGGGAGAUGGCCACUGUGCUCAGGCCUCUGUGGCUUUGCCUUGACUGAAGAAAGACACCAAGUCAAAGGUCAAGAUCCCUCCUGAAGCUUCUUGUAUCUGCUGGCGGCCCAGCACGUGGGUGUGAGCAUCUGGCUUCCUCUUUUCAUCCAGGAGACAACUCCAGAGUUCCCUGUGAUAAGAGCUGGGGUAACACCACAGCGUGGUUCCUCUGUGCCCACCACAGCAUGGCUUCUCUGUGCCCACCACAGCGUGGCUCCUCUGUGCCCACCACAGCGUGGCUUCUCUGUGCCCACAGGUCUCCACUCCCUGCUGUCCCACAGGUGCCACACUGAAGGGUGUGCGCUCCGGCUCAGGUCCACCCUGAAGGACAUGCACUCCCGCUCAGGUCCA